rnacentral:rRNA from 1 species
UACGGAGGGUGCGAGAGGUGGCCGGAGUCACUGGGUUUAAAGGGUGGGUAGGCGGCUCGGUAAGUCAGUUGUGAAAGGACCUUGCUUCACGAGGGAGGUGCGAUUGAUACUGUCGAGCUUGAAUCGGGAUGAGGCAGGCGGAAUGUGGCAUGUAGCUGUGAAAUGCAUAGAUAGGCCAUAGAACACCGAUUGCGAAGGCAGCCUGCUGGGCCUGUAUUGACGCUGAGGCACGAAAGCGUGGGGAGCAAACAGG